rnacentral:rRNA from 1 species
UACAGAGGUCUCAGGCGUUGUUCGGAUUCAUUGGGCGUAAAGGGUGUGUAGGUGGCGCGCUAAGUCGGGUGUGAAAUUUCGGAGCUUAACUCCGAAACUGCAUUCGAUACUGGCGUGCUUGAGGACUGGAGAGGAGAUUGGAAUUCAUGGUGUAGCAGUGAAAUGCGUAGAGAUCAUGAGGAAGACCAGUGGCGAAGGCGGGUCUCUGGACAGUUCCUGACACUGAGACACGAAGGCCAGGGGAGCAAACGGG